rnacentral:rRNA from 1 species
UACGAAGGGUGCAAGCGUUAAUCGGAAUUACUGGGCGUAAAGGGUGCGUAGGCGGUUCGUUAAGUCUGUCGUGAAAUCCCCGGGCCCAACCUGGGAAUGGCGAUGGAUACUGGCGAGCUAGAGUGUGUCAGAGGAUGGUGGAAUUCCCGGUGUAGCGGUGAAAUGCGUAGAGAUCUGGAGGAACACCGGUGGCGAAGGCGGCAUCCUGGACCGGCAUUGACGCUGAGGCGCGAAAGCCAGGGGAGCAAACGGG